rnacentral:lncRNA from 1 species
AUGUUAGUGGAAUUAACAUAUGCCCCACCCCAAGUGACUUCUAAAGGGCUAACUCACCACAAGGGAGUCAGAGCAGAUCUUGGACUGAGACCUACAGGACACAGCGACUCUUAAAUAGGUGGCUCACCAGGAGAAAGGCAUAGCAGAACCUGGACUGAGACCUACGGGAGACAGGCAGACACACAGGAGGUUGGACGUCGAGAGGAGCACAUCAGUGCAAGAACACAUGGGUGGCUGCCACUUCUCUCCCUUUCCUGAGAGGGAAAAACUCUCGACGCUGAGAGGAAUCCACCAACAGGCACCAGCACUCUGGCAGGCCACCGACCAAUGGAUUGACAUAGAGUUUGGCUGGGGCAGCCAGAGGAGAGCCUGGGCCGCUGAAUAACCCGACUUCAGGGGAAAACUAUUCUCCCUUUUGGCUCCCCCAUCUGCUGAGAGCUACUUCCACUCAAUAAAACCUUGCACUCAUUCUCCAAGA